rnacentral:rRNA from 1 species
GAUGAACGCUGGCGGCGUGCCUAAUACAUGCAAGUCGAGCGAACGGACGAGAAGCUUGCUUCUCUGAUGUUAGCGGCGGACGGGUGAGUAACACGUGGAUAACCUACCUAUAAGACUGGGAUAACUUCGGGAAACCGGAGCUAAUACCGGAUAAUAUUUUGAACCGCAUGGUUCAAAAGUGAAAGACGGUCUUGCUGUCACUUAUAGAUGGAUCCGCGCUGCAUUAGCUAGUUGGUAAGGUAACGGCUUACCAAGGCAACGAUGCAUAGCCGACCUGAGAGGGGGAGAGGACAAACGGGAGAUGGGCACCGGAGCAGACGACGCCGGGAGGACGGAGCAUGGAAGGUGGCGCAAUGGGCGAAAGUCCGAAGAAGGAAUAACGCGGGAAAGAUGAAAGUCGUCAGAUCGUAAAACUCUGUUAUCAGGGCAGAACAGAUGUGCAAGUACAUGUUCAGAGCUUGCAGGUACCUAAGUAGAAAGCAAAGGCUAACUACGUG